GCGAAUAUCUAGCGACGCUUUCGUUCUACCCUUUUUCAAUGCUAGCGAUCAUAGGAACAGUGACUAUUGACUCUUCCACUAAGAUAAUACCUAAGAAAAGAUGUGGGGCUCGUAAGCACAUGUCACAGCCGUGUUCUAAUUCUCGAGACAUCGUCGGGAUUUAUUCCUGACGAUGGGAAGAUAACAUCAUUUAUUAGCUAGUGGAUAGCUGUAUCCUCUCAAG
rnacentral:lncRNA from 1 species